rnacentral:misc_RNA from 1 species
AAGUCGUAACAAGGUCUCCGUUGGUGAACCAGCGGAGGGAUCAUUACUGAGUCUACGAACUCCCAACCAUUGUGAACAUACCACUGUUGCUUCGGCGGCCGCGCCCCGGGACGCCGCGUCCCGGACCCAGGCGCCCGCCGGAGGCCCCAAACUCCACUGUAACUUCUGUAUACAUCUGAGUGGCAUAAGCAAAUAAAUCAAAACUUUCAGCAACGGAUCUCUUGGUUCUG